CAAUAGCGUAUAUUAAAGCUGUUGCGGUUAAAAAGCUCGUAGUUGGAUUUCUGUCAAGGACAACUGGUCCGCCCCUCGGGUGAGCACAUAGUUUGGUCUUGGCAUCUUGUUGGAAACUGUUGCUGCACUUGGUUGUGUGGCGCAGUGUCCAGCACUUUCACUUUGAGGAAAUUGGAGUGUUUCAAGCAGGCACAUGCCUUUGGACACAGUAGCAUGGAAUAAUUAGAUUGGGCUUUUGCUCCAACUUGUCGGUUUCUGGAGCUGAGGUGAGAAUUAAUGGGGAUUGUUGGGGGCACCCGAAUUUAGCCGUCAGAGGUGAAAUUCUUGGAUCUGCUAAAGACGGACAACUGCGAAAGCGUUUGCCCAGGAUGUUUUCAUUGA
rnacentral:rRNA from 1 species